rnacentral:lncRNA from 1 species
UAUAGGAUUUCUGAAUCUGAGUCUUUCCUGAGACAAACUCUUUCUAAUCCUUACCUGCUUGUCAGAGCCGCGCAGACACCACCACAUCCGUACCCACCCCAAGGAUCUCCUAUUGCUGGAAGAAGAGCUGUAAUUUCGGCUGCCUGAUCCUGGCUGCAGAAAGAAGCACUGAAGACGUGAGGAAAUACAUUAGUUGCAUGCAGUCUGCUCACGCUAAACCAUUCUCAUAGCGUGGGAAAGAAGCAAGCUGCCGGCAUUCGACCCGGGGAUUUAU